AUAUAUAUAUAUUUUUUAAAGCAAUAUGCACAUGUUUAUUGUGUGAUAUUUACAUAUCUACAGUAUGACACAGCACUACGCUGUGAUGAUGCACGCUGACACAGAUUGCACCGCUAUGGGUUAGUUAGGCCACAGUGGCAGGUUACCAUGGUGUUUAGACUCUAGACCAAAGGGGUGGGUAACCCUGCUCUUGGAGGGCUGCAGGCACUUCAUGUUUACGACUUAACCAACCUGGAAGACCAGAUGUGUUGAAUAUAGGCAAUCACUUGAACUGAUCCAUUAACUAAGUGUCACGGUGUGGUGCCGAGUCGGGACAAAAUGCUGCAGCACCUACAACACCCCAGGAAAAUGGUUCCCUACCCUCGACCAUGUCAAGUAUAGCUACAGUAUAAUAUACAUCUUUUGGCUUCAUGAAGGAUGGUAGAACAAUGUGAACAAUGCAACAUUCAGAGUACCAUGACUGAGAGACACGGGAACAGACAGCAGACAGUUCUUUUGUUGAUCGAGGACUCUCUAGUCCCGUUUAUACCUGGCGCUAGCAUACGUCCUUUUUGUCCUGAUCUUGUCCUCAUUCUAAUUGAGCACAGAGAGAUAGAGACAGAGAGAGGGACAGAGAGAGAGAGACAGAAAGAGAGACAGAGAUAGAAAGAGAAAGAGAGAGAGACAGAGAGAGGGACAGAGAGAUAGAGACAGAGAGAGGGACAGAGAGAUAGAGACAGAGACAGAGAUAGAAAGAGAAAGAGAGAGACGGAGAAAUAUGGAUGUAGUGGGUGUUCUUGGUUAGGAGAGAUAGUGUAAAGAUCAGAUCACUGAUAACCUUUUGGCUUUAUUAUGUUCUCUCUGUGUAGAGGAUAUAGGAUACAGAGACACACAGGGGAGGAAGAAGCCCUGCUAGUGUAAACCUCUUACUGUCAACAGGGAGAGUAGAUCCCUAGAUCCCGUGCAUAGAGAGACUAUUCCUAUCUCUCUGAGGGUAAGUAGAUCCCUAGAUCCCAUGCAUAGAAAGACUGUUCUUAUCUCUCUGAGGGACAGUAGAUCCCUAGAUCCCAUGCAUAGAAAUACUGUUCCCAUCUCUCUGAGAGACAGUAGAUCCCUAGAUCCCAUGCAUAGAAAUACUGUUCCUAUCUCUCUGAGGGUAAGUAGAUCCCUAGAUCCCAUGCAUAGAAAUACUGUUCCUAUCUCUCUGAGGGACAGAGGAUCCCUAGAUCCCAUGCAUAGAAAUACUGUUCCUAUCUCUCUGAGGGACAGUAGAUCCCUAGAUCCCAUGCAUAGAAAUACUGUUCCUAUCUCUCUGAGGGACAGUAGAUCCCUAGAUCCCAUGCAUAGAAAGACUGUUCCUAUCUCUCUGAGGGUAAGUAGAUCCCUAGAUCCCAUGCAUAGAAAGACUGUUCCUAUCUCUCUGAGGGUAAGUAGAUCCCUAGAUCCCAUGCAUAGAAAGACUGUUCCUAUCUCUCUGAGGGACAGUAGAUCCCUAGAUCCCAUGCAUAGAAAGACUGUUCCUAUCUCUCUGAGGGUAAGUAGAUCCCUAGAUCCCAUGCAUAGAAAUACUGUUCCUAUCUCUCUGAGGGACAGUAGAUCCCUAGAUCCCAUGCAUAGAAAGACUGUUCCUAUCUCUCUGAGGGACAGUAGAUCCCUAGAUCCCAUGCAUAGAAAGACUGUUCCUAUCUCUCUGAGGGUAAGUAGAUCCCUAGAUCCCAUGCAUAGAAAGCCUGGUUGCAACCUGAAAGGUUAUCACUGUUGUGUCUAUGGUGCCUAAAGCAUCUCCUGAUGUAUUUGAACAUCCCCAGCCCACACUGUUAUAGGAAGAGACAAUAGAUAGAACAUGAGGAAAGAGGUGGAGGAGAGACAGGCAGAGAAAGAGGUGGAGGAGAGACAGGCAGAGAAAGAGGUGGAGGAGAGACAGGCAGAGAACGAGGUGGAGGAGAGACAGGCAGAGAAAGAGGUGGAGGAGAGACAGGCAGAGAACGAGGUGGAGGAGAGACAGGCAGAGAAAGAGGUGGAGGAGAGACAGGCAGAGAAAGAGGUGGAGGAGAGACAGGCAGAGAAAGAGGAGGAGGAGAGACAGGCAGAGAAAGAGGUGGAGGAGAGACAGGCAGAGAACGAGGUGGAGGAGAGACAGGCAGAGAAAGAGGUGGAGGAGAGACAGGCAGAGAAAGAGGUGGAGGAGAGACAGGCAGAGAACGAGGUGGAGGAGAGACAGGCAGAGAAAGAGGUGGAGGAGAGACAGGCAGAGAAAGAGGAGGAGGAGAGACAGGCAGAGAAAGAGGUGGAGGAGAGACAGGCAGAGAACGAGGUGGAGGAGAGACAGGCAGAGAAAGAGGUGGAGGAGAGACAGGCAGAGAAAGAGGAGGAGGAGAGACAGGCAGAGAAAGAGGAGGAGGAGAGACAGGCAGAGAAAGAGGAGGAGGAGAGACAGGCAGAGAAAGAGGAGGAGGAGAGACAGGCAGAGAAAGAGGAGGAGGAGAGACAGGCAGAGAAAGAGGAGGAGGAGAGACAGGCAGAGAACGAGGUGGGGGAGAGACAGGCAGAGAAAGAGGAGGAGGAGAGACAGGCAGAGAAAGAAGAGGAGGAGAGACAGGCAGAGAAAGAGGAGGAGGAGAGACAGGCAGAGAACGAGGUGGGGGAGAGACAGGCAGAGAACGAGGUGGGGGAGAGACAGGCAGAGAACGAGGUGGGGGAGAGACAGGCAGAGAACGAGGUGGGGGAGAGACAGGCAGAGAACGAGGAGGAGGAGAGACAGGCAGAGAACGAUGUGGGGGAGAGACAGGCAGAGAAAGAGGUGGGGGAGAGACAGGCAGAGAACGAGGUGGGGGAGAGACAGGCAGAGAAAGAGGUGGGGGAGAGACAGGCAGAGAACGAGGAGGAGGAGAGACAGGCAGAGAACGAGGUGGGGGAGAGACAGGCAGAGAAAGAGGAGGAGGAGAGACAGGCAGAGAACGAGGUGGGGGAGAGACAGGCAGAGAACGAGGUGGGGAGAGACAGGCAGAGAAAGAGGAGGAGGAGAGACAGGCAGAGAAAGAGGAGGAGGAGAGACAGGCAGAGAAAGAGGUGGGGGAGAGACAGGCAGAGAACGAGGUGGAGGAGAGACAGGCAGAGAAAGAGGAGGAGGAGAGACAGGCAGAGAACGAGGUGGGGGAGAGACAGGCAGAGAACGAGGUGGGGGAGAGACAGGCAGAGAACGAGGUGGGGGAGAGACAGGCAGAGAAAGAGGAGGAGGAGAGACAGGCAGAGAACGAGGUGGGGGAGAGACAGGCAGAGAAAGAGGAGGAGGAGAGACAGGCAGAGAAAGAGGUGGAGGAGAGACAGGCAGAGAAAGAGGUGGAGGAGAGACAGGCAGAGAAAGAGGUGGAGGAGAGACAGGCAGAGAAAGAGGUGGAGGAGAAACAGGCAGAGAAAGAGGUGGAGGAGAGACAGGCAGAGAAAGAGGAGGAGGAGAGACAGGCAGAGAAAGAGGUGGAGGAGAGACAGGCAGAGAAAGAGGUGGAGGAGAGACAGGCAGAGAAAGAGGAGGAGGAGAGACAGACAGAGAAAGAGGUGGAGGAGAGACAGGCAGAGAAAGAGGUGGAGGAGAGAGAUGUGCUAAUGCUGCUGCUAUCUGGUGGUGGCUAACCUGCACUGCAGGUAAAACACAAUAGAGUAGGGGUGGGUGGAUGGAUGGGGACAUUUCACAAUGAAACCCGUACACACACACCAUUAUAUUCUAUGAGUAUAAUUCUAAAAUAAACAUAUAUAAUAGAACACAUAUCUUCUUUUACACAUUUCAUCAUAUCAAGACAUAAUCCAGAUGACUUUACACAUCAACAAAAAAAAAACAUUAGUAAUGCUGGAAUAUGAGCUGCCUAAUAAAAGCCUGAUAAUGCCAUUGGGGUGGGAAACCGUUCAGAUCAGCACAGAGGAUAACGCUUUAAAGUCUCUCACUCCAAUGAUUCCUUGUUACAGUCCAAACCCUACUUUCCCUUGAGACGUACAGUGUAGUAAAAAAACAAACAAAAAAAAGAAGCAUUUCCCAGCAUUCCAAGGACCAGAGUCACAUCAUAAUGGUAAUGCAUUUUGUGUCACAAUGACCAGCAUCAACACACAGAAGAACCACAGGAAGACAGCAGGAGUGCACGCAGGAGUGCACGCAGGAGUGCACGCAGGAGUGCACGCAGGAGUGCACGCAGGAGUGCACGCAGGAGUGCACGCAGGAGUGCACGCAGGAGUGCACGCAGGAGUGCUCACCACAGCAAAACGUUAUGCAGCUGAAGAAAGCGAAAGGUCGUCCCAUCCUGUUUCAGUUCAGAUUGUUUUUCCGUUUAGUGCCUAAUGAAUAUGACCCACGGGACAGGGGAUACCUCUUCAUUAUAGUUAUAUACCCUGAUAAUUUAAUAUGUUUUGUUCCCCAAUAUAAUAUUUAGAAUAAUAUAUACAUCACGUAUGUACUUUGUAAUCAUGUCAUAUUAUAUUAUGGAGCAUCUAUGGAUAUGGCUGUGCCGUGUGUGUGUGUGUGUGUGUGUGUGUGUGUGUGUGUGUGUGUGUGUGUGUGUGUGUGUGUGUGUGUGUGUGUGUGUGUGUGUGUGUGUGUGUGUGUGUGUGUGUGUGUGUGUGUGUGUGUCUUGCCAGCCGCUCUCCUCCCAGUGGUAAACCACCUCCCAGACGUCACCACUUCAACAACCACCGUACAGAACUUUCAUCAACACGUUGAGAAGUUGAUACACCUGUCAGUCAAGGUCUGGGGGAUUCAGACACGGCAAAGCAGGUCCUUGUGACAGUGCAUUCUCCUGACAUUACUCCCAUUCUCCUGACAUUACUCCCAUUCUCCUGACAUUACUCCCAUUCUCCUAACAUUACUCCCAUUCUCCUAACAUUAAUCCCAUUCUCCUAACAUUAAUCCCAUUCUCCUGACAUUACUCCCAUUCUCCUAACAUUACUCCCAUUCUCCUAACAUUAAUCCCAUUCUCCUGACAUUAAUCCCAUUCUCCUAACAUUAAUCCCAUUCUCCUGACAUUAAUCCCAUUCUCCUAACGUUAAUCCCAUUCUCCUGACAUUAAUCCCAUUCUCCUGACAUUACUCCCAUUCUCCUAACAUUAAUCCCAUUCUCCUAACAUUAAUCCCAUUCUCCUGACAUUAAUCCCAUUCUCCUAACAUUAAUCCCAUUCUCCUGACAUUAAUCCCAUUCUCCUAACAUUAAUCCCAUUCUCCUGACAUUAAUCCCAUUCUCCUAACAUUAAUCCCAUUCUCCUGACAUUAAUCCCAUUCUCCUAACAUUAAUCCCAUUCUCCUAACAUUAAUCCCAUUCUCCUAACAUUAAUCCCAUUCUC
ensembl:lncRNA